GGGAGGGCAGCGGACUUGCCUGUCUUCUCAUUUUGGCCGAAGGUCGUGGGUUCGAUCCCCACCGGGCCCA
rnacentral:tRNA from 1 species